rnacentral:rRNA from 1 species
CCUACGGGAGGCUGCAGUGGGGAAUAUUGCGCAAUGGACGCAAGCCUGACGCAGCGACGCCGCGUGUAGGAAGAAGGCUCUCGGAUUGUAAACUUCUGUCAUUCGGGACGAAAUAGAUGGUGGUACAGAAGGAAUAAGCCGCGGCUAACUUCGUACCAGCAGCCGCGGUAAUACGUAGGUGGCAAGCGUUAUCCGGAUUUAUUGGGUGUAAAGGGGGUGUAGGCGGGAAAGCAAGUCAGACGUGAAAUCCCGGGGCUUAACCCUGGAACUGCAUCUUAAACUUUUCUUCUUGAGUGAUGGAGAGGCAGGUGGAAUUCCGAGUGUAGCGGUGAAAUGCGUAGAUAUAAGGAGGAACACCAGUGGCGAAGGCGACUUGCUGGACAUUAACUGACGCUGAGGCACGAAAGCGUGGGGAGCAAACAGGAUUAGAUACCCUUGUAGUC